rnacentral:rRNA from 1 species
AAUCAACGCUGGCGGCGCGCUUAACACAUGCAAGUCGAGCGAGAAAGGGGAGCAAUCCCUGAGUACAGCGGCGUACGGGUGAGUAACACGUGGGUGAUCUACCUUCUAGUGUGGAAUAACCCUGGGAAACCGGGGCUAAUACCGCAUAAGCCUGUGAAGGGAAAGCAGCAAUGCGCUGGAAGAGGAGCCCGCGGCCGAUUAGCUAGUUGGUGAGGUAACGGCCCACCAAGGCGAUGAUCGGUAGCCGGCCUGAGAGGGCACACGGCCACACUGGCACUGAAACACGGGCCAGACUCCUACGGGAGGCAGCAGUGGGGAAGUCUUGCACAAUGGAGGCAACUCUGAUGCAGCGACGCCGCGUGAGCGAUGAAGCCCUU